rnacentral:piRNA from 2 species
GUCACACAGCUAGUCAGUGGCAAAUCCAAG